rnacentral:misc_RNA from 1 species
GAUGAAGAACGCAGCGAAAUGCGAUAAGUAAUGUGAAUUGCAGAAUUCAGUGAAUCAUCGAAUCUUUGAACGCACAUUGCGCCCGCCAGUAUUCUGGCGGGCAUGCCUGUUCGAGCGUCAUUUCAACCAUCAAGCCCCAGGCUUGUGUUGGGGACCUGCGGCUGCCGCAGGCCCUGAAAACCAGUGGCGGGCUCGCUGUCACACCGGGCGUAGUAGAUUUUAUCUCGCUCAGGGCGUGCUGCGGGUCCCGGCCGUUAAAAGCCUUUUUUUACCCAAGGUUGACCUCGGAUCGGGUAGGAAGACCCGCUGAACUUAAGCAUAUCAAUAAGCGGAGGA